rnacentral:sRNA from 1 species
UGUAGAACUGAAGUCCAGCUUCCUUGCUGUGGGCUGAAGGUCAUUCUCAGAUUCUCAAAGGUCACCUGCAUUCUCUAGCUUGUGGGCCUUUUCACUGCAGAACCAGCAAUGGCAGGUGAAAUCCUUCUCUGAAGCUUUGAUUCUGUCUUGCCACUUCUGUUGCAUCUCUCCGACUGACUUGUUUACCUUCCUCUUCUACAUUUUUCUUUUAUUCCCUAAGUGACAGCAUCGUGCUGUAUUGUCUAGGCUGGACUUCAGUGGCACGAUCACAGUUCACUGCAUUCUCGACGUCCCAGGCUCAAGCAGUCUUCUUGCCUCGGCCCCUCAAAUAGCUGAGACUUUCAGGCACACACCACCAUGCCUGGCUAACUGUUAAACUUUUUGUAGAGACCGGGUUUCACUAUGUUGCCUAGGCUGGUCUCCAACUCCUGGGCUCAAGUGAUUCUCCUGCCUCGGCCUCCCAAAGUUUUGGGAUUACAGGCAUGAGCCACCGUGCCCGGCCCUCUUUUACUUUUAAGGGCCAGUGUGAUUAGAUUGGGGCUACUAGAUAAUCCAGGAAAAUCUCCCCUUUUGUUUAUUUUUUUUUUUAUUUUAGAGAUAGCAUGUCACUCUGUUGCUGAGGCUGGAGUGCAGUGGCCCAGUCAUAGCUCACUACAGCCUUGAACUCCUGGGCUCAAGCAAUCCUUUUAUCUCAGCCUCCUGAGUAGCUGGGACCACAGAUGUGCACCAUGCCUGGCCAUUUUUUUUUUUUAAAGAGACAGAGUCUUGCUCUGUUGCCGAGGCUGGGGUGCAGUGGCACAAUCAGGCUCUCUGCAGCCUCACCCUCCUGGGCUCAAGCAAUCCUCCUACCUCAGCUUCCUGAGUAGCUGGGAACAGGCACAUGCCACCACACCCAGCUGAUUUUUUUAUUUUUAUUUUUUGUCGAGAUGGAGUCUCACUAUGUUGCCCAAGCUUCCCUCGAACUCCUUCAGAGAAUUUAUCGUGCUUUGUCUUAGGUGUGCAGAGCAGCACAGGGUUACGGUAGCACAAUCUUGGGAGUCAGUGAGCUGGAUUGAAUUCUGAUUCUUCCUGUCUAUAGUUCUGUGAUCCAGCACUGUGGACUUGCGGAACCCAAGGCUCUACUAGAACAGGGCGAUGAUGCCUUUCCUCCUUAGGAUCUUAGUAUUAUUAUUUUUUUUCUUUUUUUUUCGAGACACUGUUUCACUUUGUUGCCCCGGCUGGAGUGCAGUAGUGUGACCUUAGCUCACUGCAACCUCAGCCUCCUGGGUUCAAGUGAUUCUCGUGCUUAAGCCUCCCGAGUAGCUGGAAUUACAGUUGCAUAUCACCACGCCCAGCUACCUUCUUAGGAUCUUAAAAGAUACAUGUUGGUAAAAUUGUGAGCAGGACCUGUGGCAGUAGUGUGUAGUUCUUUUUUUUUUUUUGAGACGGAGUCUAGGUCUGUCGCCCAGGCUGGAGUGCAGUGGCAUGAUCUCGGCUCACUGCACCCUCUGCCUCCCAGGUUCAAGUGAUUCUCCUGCCUCCAGCCUCCUGCCUGAUUACAGGCAUGCACCACCAUGCCCAGCUAAAUUUUUUUUGGUAUUUUUAGUAGAGACGGGGUUUCACCAUGUUGGUCAGGCUGGUCUCGAGCUCCUGACCUCGUGGUCCAUCCGCCUCGGCCUCCCAAAGUGUCAGGAUUACAGGCGUGAGCACUGCGCCUGGCCACUGGUGUGUAGUUCUUAAAGAGCAGUUAUCACUGUUCCCUGUCUUGUGUUGUCAUCGGAUGUGUCCCCCUCGCUCCAACUGAGCUAUACAGUGAGUGACCCAGGCUGGGACUGACCCCUGCUGAGAAGUGCCAGGCGGUCUUGUCCCUCUGCCUGAAGCCCAGACAGUGCUCUCAAGCAUAACUGAUGUCUCGUUCAUCAGAUCCUCCUGGCCAACUUCCUGGCCCAGACGGAGGCCCUGAUGAGGGGAAAAUCGACGGAGGAGGCCCGAAAGGAGCUCCAGGCCGCGGGCAAGAGUCCAGAGGACCUUGAGAGGCUGCUGCCACAUAAGGUCAGCACUUUUGCAUUCGGUUUUGGGGUGCAUGCUGGAGUUGGAGGUGUGAAGCUAUGGCACCACGCAGGGGCUUGGGGUGUGCCUGGCUUGUCCUACAGAGUGGGAGGGCCUGUCCUCACAGAACUGCAUGUCUCAGCCUCUGGGGCAGGGUGUGCUUCCCUUCAAGGGGUUUAGGGAUCAGGACUCGCUUGGGGACAUUCCUUGGUAUUUUCUGCAGGUCUUUGAAGGAAAUCGCCCAACCAACUCUAUUGUGUUCACCAAGCUCACACCAUUCAUGCUUGGAGCCUUGGUCGGUGAGUGAGUAGGGGAAAGGUCCUGGCUUGGGGUAGGUUGGAAUGGGCUUGUGGAGCCCUGACGUGCCCUGUCUGUCACUUCUGCAGCCAUGUAUGAGCACAAGAUCUUCGUUCAGGGCAUCAUCUGGGACAUCAACAGCUUUGACCAGUGGGGGUGAGUUGCUCACUUAGGGGAGGGCCGGGAAUACCUUUGGGUCGGCUCAGGGAUUUCAGUAGCAACGUUAGAGCCUUCCUCAUACCACUCUUCCCUUCCCUUCUUGGCAGAGUGGAGCUGGGAAAGCAGCUGGCUAAGAAAAUUGAGCCUGAGCUUGAUGGCAGUGCUCAAGUGACCUCUCACGACGCUUCUACCAAUGGGCUCAUCAACUUCAUCAAGCAGCAGCGCGAGGCCAGAAUCCAAUAAACUCGUGCUCAGCCGCAGCCUCCUCUGUGACUCCUCUUUCUCUUCUCAUCCCUCCUCCCCGGAGCUGGCACUGCAUGGUCCUGGACACUACCCAGAGUACCCUCUGGUUGUGGGCUUGGACCACGAGCCCUUAGCAGGGAAGGCUGGUCUCCCCCAGCCUAACCCCAGCCCCUCCAUGUGUAUGCUUCCUCUGUGUUACAAUUGGCUGAAGUGUUUUUGUGCAGCUGACUUUUCCGACCCAUGUUCACAUUGUUCACAUCCCAUGUAAAACAAUAAAGAUGCCACAGAGGAGGUUGUA